ensembl:lncRNA
UGAUGCCGGCGGCGGCGGCGCGCGGUGCUUCGGGGGGCCCGAGUGCUCGGGGCUGAGCGCAGCAGGGACGGCUGUGGGUGGCAGCUGAUCUCGGGGUGAUGGGAAUGUCCGUCCUGCGGGAUGCGCUCACACACGCCUCUUUCCUCGCAGCUGAGUGCUGGUCCGCUGAGGAGCUCCUCCCCGCAGGGUCCGGGGAUGGAGCAGCGCUUGGGCAAGAUGUCCUCGAAGCAGUUCUGCAGGAGGGCGCGCCGGGAGCCCUAUCUGCGUCAGGCUGGGCCAUCGCCUCCACGUGCUCAUGGCCCCCGGGAUGCCUGGCGCAAUCCUCCAUGGGAGCAGCAGCACCGAAGAGCUGGGGGAAGAAUGCGUCUGCCCAGUCCCAGGCAGCCCAGGCCUUUCCCUGGCCCUGCUGACAUCCUCCACAAUGAGAAUUGGAGAGGGGCACCCCGAGACCGUGAUGUGCCACCACAUCCCUCAGACUACAGAGAGGACCAGCAGAGCCGUGAGCCCAAUGAGGACUCGCUGAGGACCUCCUCCCCACAGGGAUCAAGGCUGGAGCAACGCUUUGGCAAGAUGUCCUCGAAGCAGUUCUGCAGGAGAGGGCCCCGGGCCUUUAGCUGGGGGCCCUAUCUGCGUCAGGCUGGGCCAUCGCCUCCACGUGCUCAUGGCCCCCGGGAUGCCUGGCGCAAUCCUCCAUGGGAGCAGCAGCACCGAAGAGCUGGGGGAAGAAUGCGUCUGCCCGGUGCCAGGCAGCCCAGGCCUUUCCCUGGCCCUGCUAACAUCCACCAGUACGAGGAGAAUUGGAGAUGGGCCCCCCAGAACCGUGAUGUGCCACCACCUCCCUGGAUGUACAGAGAGGACCAUCAGAGCCAUGAGAUACCACAGCUGCGUCACCGGGACUUCUUUGCCCAGCCUGAGUUCCCCAGCCAGGAGCAGCGUCCUGCUGGAUUCCCUCGGGAGCAAGAAGACAACUGCUCACCCCAGCGCCAUUGUGGCCCACGCCGGAGACGCUGCCGACUCCUUCGGCCCAUCCAGCAGGAGACAGCAGACAACAGCUGUUCUCCCCACAGCUCCCAAGGGUACCAUCCAUCCUCCAAGCCCUCUCAGUCCUGCUCCCCAGAGAGCCAGCUGGGGCUCAGAGAGCAUCUCGCUGCUCCCCAGUCACCUGCUGCCUGCAAAAACAGUCUGCAAAGCGCGCAGCAGGUGGAUGAGGGCCAGCGGGUGGCAAGCAGUGAGGCACUGGAACGGCCCAGGCGUGCAGAGAAGAGCUCAGAGAAGAGCCCGGGCACUGACCCCCAGGCAGCGGAGCAGAAGCCAGCGGCAGGAGCAAAGCCAGUUGGGCCUGAAGGAGGAGAGGGAGCUGCAGGCAACCAGCAGCUCUCUGCCCUGGAGUUGGAGCCGGUCUCCUCGGAGACAACCAGCACCAGCGAGGAGGAAGGCUUGGAGCUGGCUGCAGGCUUCCAGAGCUCACCCCGCCCCCUGCGCUCCGCACUUUCCCCCACCAGCACAGACCUGCGCUCUGCUGCCAUCCUCACCAAGAAGGAGAGCAUCGAGCAGGGGUACCACGACUUCUGCCUCAGCUUUGCCCUGGUGUCCUCGCUGCUGCUGCAGAAGGAGCCCUCCAUGGAGGCGAUGCUGAUGAAGGCACUGAGAGCCAACCUGUGCGACCUCCGCAACCGCCUCCUGGAUGAGAUGGAGGACUUCAUCCAGCAGUACGAUGCGACGCACCCCAGCUGCUGA